rnacentral:rRNA from 1 species
GUGCCAGCCGCCGCGGUAACACGUAGGAUCCGAGCGUUAUCCGAAUUUACUGGGCGUAAAGCGCGUGCAGGCUGUUUGGAAAGUUGGAUGUGAAAGCUCCUGGCUCAACUAGGAGAGGCCGUUCAAAACUACCAGACUUGAGGACAGUAGAGGGAGAUGGAAUUUCCGGUGUAGUAGUGAAAUGCGUAGAUAUCGGAAGGAACACCAGUGGCGAAGGCGGUCUCCUAGGCUGUUUCUGACGCUAAGAUGCGAAAGCUAGGGUAGCGAAUGGGAUUAGAAACCCGCGUAGUCC